ACCAGGACGUGCGACGGAGUCCAAGGGUCGGUAAACAAGUACCUCCAUCGCACCGCUGACUUUUCAAGUUCACGCGGCCCAAUCACGGGAGAGAACGCUGAGCGUAACAAC
rnacentral:ncRNA from 1 species